rnacentral:rRNA from 1 species
AACGUAGGAGACAAACGUUAUCCGGAGUUAUUGGGCGUAAAGAGCUCGUAGGCGGCUCGUUGCGUCAACCGUGAAAACCCGGGGCUUAACUUCGGGCUUGCGGUUGAUACGGGCGGGCUGGAGUUCGGUAGGGGAGACUGGAAUUCCUGGUGUAGCGGUGAAAUGCGCAGAUAUCAGGAGGAACACCGGUGGCGAAGGCGGGUCUCUGGGCCGAUACUGACGCUGAGGAGCGAAAGCGUGGGGAGCGAACAGG